AUUGAACGCUGGCGGCAGGCCUAACACAUGCAAGUCGAACGGUAACAGGGAUCAGCUUGCUGAUUCGCUGACGAGUGGCGGACGGGUGAGUAAUGUCCGGGAAACUGCCUGCUGGAGGGGGAUAACUACUGGAAACGGUAGCUAAUACCGCAUAACGUCGCAAGACCAAAGAGGGGGACCUUCGGGCCUCUUGCCAUCGGAUGUGCCCAGAUGGGAUUAGCUAGUAGGUGGGGUAACGGCUCACCUAGGCGACGAUCCCUAGCUGGUCUGAGAGGAUGACCAGCCACACUGGAACUGAGACACGGUCCAGACUCCUACGGGAGGCAGCAGUGGGGAAUAUUGCACAAUGGGCGCAAGCCUGAUGCAGCCAUGCCGCGUGUAUGAAGAAGGCCUUCGGGUUGUAAAGUACUUUCAGCGGGGAGGAAGGGAGUAAAGUUAAUACCUUUGCUCAUUGACGUUACCCGCAGAAGAAGCACCGGCUAACUCCGUG
rnacentral:rRNA from 1 species